UUUUAGCCAAGAUAGAAAUGGAAAGCUUUUUGUGGUCUCGUUAUAUUUCUUAUUGUGAAGUAUCAGCGACUUUAGAAGCUCCUUAUUUUACUUAAAAAAAAUAAGUGAGGCGACGAAAACUUAAAAUGAAUUGCUUCACCUAUU
rnacentral:sRNA from 1 species